CACCCACGACUGACCCAAGUUCCUCGGGCCCCAGACCAGGCAAGACCAGCCGUUUUCAUCCCCGCACUUAUCAUCGGCAAACAUAUGAAUGCAGAACUGGGUUUCCUCGGGAACCCAUUUGUAUUGUUUGCCCUUCGACAUAUUGAUCUUGGUGCAUCCUUUCGUCGUCCCGCCUGAGUGUAAAUGUUCCUCAUUGUCUUCAUCAUGCCAAAGAAAGGUCCAUGCAUGAGAUAUACCAACGAGAAGGAGAAUAUUGAGGGAAAAAGGAAGUAGAGACUUCAUCUGAAGAGACAAACAGUUGCAAGGAGGCAGCGUGGUGCCAACUGCAGUGAGGGCUGUUGACCAAAACACAAGAAAACACUGUAUCCCGACUUCGG
rnacentral:sRNA from 2 species